GGCGUUAUCAGUCGCUAUAAGCCCCAUAGAUGUAGGCCAAUAGGGGCCUACUACACCCACUAGUAGGUUUUAUCAUCUAUGCACAUGGUAGAUCACCAAAAGAAGGUAUAAAAGAAGAUGACAGGGACCUCUAGCAACCAUAGUAAAUAUGACAGGACCAGAAGCAGAAGUCAGGCGCUGUAGUAUAGACAGGGUUUUCACCCAGGAGACCGAGGUUCACAUCCUGUGUGAAACCAACAAUGUAUAGUUGUCUUUGUGUUCAUAGUUACUUUAACCCAAAGCACAAUGUUUUUACCUAAACUUAACUAAGUGUUUUUUUUUUUGCCUAAACCUAAAGUAGUUGUAGU